AACGCAGACUACAUGGGGUACUAUCUGAAUACACUUUGCGCAAUUUCAAAAAUUUAAAUUUCACUUUGUAAAGAAAUACAUUGCG